rnacentral:misc_RNA from 1 species
GUGCGAUAACUAGUGUGAAUUGCAUAUUCAGUGAAUCAUCGAGUCUUUGAACGCAUCUUGCACCUGCUGGUAUUCCAGCAGGUACGCCUGUUUCAGUAUCAGAAACAACUCUUCCCUUAAGAUUUUUUUCUUAAGGGGACAUUGAGGGUAUCUGGCUUAGAAGUAAAAUCUCUAGCCCGGAGACGCUUUAAAUGACUAAAGGCCUGCAAGCCAAAGUUUGAUUGCGCCUGAACUUUUUCUUAAUUUCAAGCGAAAGCUCUUGCGAACUAGAACUUUAUUAUUGCCUUGGGGGCCUCCCAAAGAAAACAUUCAACAACUUGAUCUGAAAUCAGGUGGGAUUACCCGCUGAACUUAA